UCCCCGGUGGUCCAGUGGUUAGGACUCCAUGCUUCUACUGCAGAGAGCUCAGGUUUGAUCCCUGGAUGGGGAA
rnacentral:tRNA from 1 species